rnacentral:rRNA from 1 species
AUUGAACGCUGGCGGCAGGCCUAACACAUGCAAGUCGAACGAGUGGCGGACGGGUGAGUAAUGUCUGGGAAACUGCCCGAUGGAGGGGGAUAACUACUGGAAACGGUAGCUAAUAUCGCAUACCAUCGGAUGUGCCCAGAUUGGAUUAGCUUUUAGGUGUGGUAACGGCUCACCUAGGGGAGGCUCCCUAGCUGGUCUGAGAGGAUGACCAGCCACACUGGAACUGAGACACGGUCCAGACUCCUACGGGAGGCAGCAGUGGGGAAUAUUGCAAAAGGGGCGCAAGCCUGAUGCAGCCAUGCCGCGUGUAUGAAGAAGGCCUUCGGGUUGUAAAGGACUUUCAGCGGGGAGGCGUUACCCGCAGAAGAAGCACCGGCUAACUCCGUGCCAGCAGCCGCGGUAAUUC